AUGAUGGAGAGUUUGAUCCUGGCUCAGGACGAACGCUGGCGGCGUGGAUUAGGCAUGCAAGUCGAACGGUAUGGUGCUUUCGGGCAU
rnacentral:rRNA from 1 species